rnacentral:rRNA from 1 species
UACAGAGGUGCCGAGCGUUAGGCGGAAUCACUGGGCUUAAAGCGUGUGUAGGCGGACGUCUAAGUACCUUGUGAAAUCCCACGGCUCACCCGUGGAACUGCUGGGUAUACUGGGCGUCUUGAGCCACCUAGGGGCCAGCGGAACAAAUGGUGGAGCGGUGAAAUGCGUAGAUAUCGGGAGGAACACCUGUGGCGAAAGCGGCUCACUGGACCACUACUGACGCUGAUGCGCGAAAGCUAGGGGAGCAAACAGG